GGUUAGAGCGUGGGUCUAAUAAACCCAAGGUCCUGGGUUCGAGCCCC
rnacentral:tRNA from 1 species